rnacentral:miRNA from 1 species
AAUAUCCUUUAAACAAAUUAUGCGUAUUUAAGUAGAUAGGGCCGCGCAUGCGCAGUACGUAUCUUUUUACCUGUGCACUUUUUGGUAAGAAGAUGUUAACGAAAGUUGUUUGUCUUGAUGAGUGCUACAACUUUGCUUAAUAUCCUUUUAACAAAUUAUGCGUAUUUAAGGAGAUAGGGCUGCGCAUGCGCAGAACUUAUCUCCUUACAUUUGCACCUUUUGGUAAGAAGAUGUU